UUAACUCCAACCCAUGUGAACUUACCAUUGUUGCCUCGGCGGGACCUACCCUGUAGCUACCCCGUACCACCCUGUAGCGGACCGCCGGUGGAUUUUCGAACUCUUGUUAUUUAGUAUCUUCUGAGCGUCUUAUUUUAAAUAAGUUAAAACUUUCAACAACGGAUCUCUUGGUUCUGGCAUCGAUGAAGAACGCAGCGAAAUGCGAUAAGUAAUGUGAAUUGCAGAAUUCAGUGAAUCAUCGAAUCUUUGAACGCACAUUGCGCCCAUUAGUAUUCUAGUGGGCAUGCCUGUUCGAGCGUCAUUUCAACCCUUAAGCCUAGCUUAGUGUUGGGAAUCUACUAACUGUAGCUACCCUGUAGCUACCCUGUAGUUCCUGAAAUUCAACGGGCGGAUCUGUGGUAUCCUCUGAGACGUAGUAAUUUAUUGUCUCGCUUUUGUCAGGUGCUGCAUCUCUUGCCGCUAAACCCCUAAAUUUUUAAUGGUUGACCUCGGAUCAGGUAGGAAUACCCGCUGAACUUAAGCAUAUCAAUAGGC
rnacentral:rRNA from 1 species